rnacentral:lncRNA from 1 species
ACAGAAGGACGAACCAGUGAGCUAAGCUGCGGGGCGCGGGCUCGGCCGGGGCACCGGUGAGUCGCCGGCGCUGCAGAGGGAGGCGGCACUGGUCUCGACGUGGGGCGGCCAGCGAUGAAGCCGGCUAUCUUUGUCACGAGUGAAUUGUUCUCAGUUUCUCGGUUUAUGUGCUCUUCCAGCUGCUUGUCUCCUACUAUACCUGUCUGACACAAUAUCACCAGAGCAAGCCAUAGACAGCCUGCGAGACCUAAGAGGAUCCGGGGCAAUACAGACCAUCAAGCAAUACAAUUAUCUUCAUGAGUUUCGGGACAAAUUAGCUGCACAUCUAUCAUCAAGAGAUUCACAAUCAAGAUCUGUAUCAAGAUAAAGGAAUUCAAAUAGCAUAUAUAUGACCAUGUCUGAAAUGUCAGUUCUCUAGCAUAAUUUGUAUUGAAAUGAAACCACCAGUGUUAUCAACUUGAAUGUAAAUGUACAUGUGCAGAUAUUCCUAAAGUUUUAUUGAC